UGGCUGUCGUCAGCUCGUGUCGUGAGAUGGUUGGGUUAACGUCCCGCAACGAGCGCAACCCUUGUCAUUAGUUGCCAUCAUUUGGUUGGGCACUCUAAUGAGACUGCCGGUGACAAACCGGAGGAAGGUGGGGAUGACGUCAAGUCCUCAUGGCCCUUAUGGGUAGGGCUUCACACGUCAUACAAUGGUCGGUACAGAGGGUUGCCAACCCGCGAGGGGGAGCUAAUCCCACAAAGCCGAUCGUAGUCCGGAUCGCAGUCUGCAACUCGACUGCGUGAAGUCGGAAUCGCUAGUAAUCGUGGAUCAGCAUGUCACGGUGAAUACGUUCCCGGGUCUU
rnacentral:rRNA from 1 species